GAUGAACGCUAGCGGGAGGCCUAAUACAUGCAAGUCGAACGGUAAGGUCCCUUCGGGGAUACACGAGUGGCGGACGGGUGCGUAACGCGUACGAAACAUACCUUCAACAGGGAGAUACCUCCGGGAAACUGGGAAAUAAUACCCCAUAGUAUUGUGACAUCGCAUGAUGUUACAUUAAAGCUUUGGCGGUUGAAGAUUGUCGUGCGUCUGAUUAGCUAGUUGGUGAGGUAACGGCUCACCAAGGCGACGAUCAGUAGCUGGUCUGAGAGGAUGAUCAGCCACACUGGAACUGAGACACGGUCCAGACUCCUACGGGAGGCAGCAGUAGGGAAUAUUGGACAAUGGGCGGAAGCCUGAUCCAGCCAUCCCGCGUGUAGGAAUAAGG
rnacentral:rRNA from 1 species